CCUUAAAUUUUUAGUGCGCAAAGUACCAAUGAAACAACAAUUGUAGGUAAGUAUUCCAUCACCGGUUAUUUAAUGUUUAAAACAUAACAUUGUCAUUUUUUUAGUACAAAAAGUACCAAUAAAAUUACUAUUUAUACACAAAAUACCAACAAAAUACUCAUGUGUUCAAAUAAAACCUUAUGGUAAUCGGUUACUUUAGAUAAACGGAAAAAUGUUAUAAAAGUGUAACAAAAUUUCCAAAAUGUUUUAAAAAACACAACACUUUUUUAUAACUUAUCAGAUUAUGUAGAACACAAUUAUCGGAGAUCAUGCACCGUCAUUUCAGUUCACAACAAUGGUACAAUCUCUUUCAUUCCCUCACACGAUCAUUCUUAUAGUAACAUGAGAAGUGGUAUGCCUCAAACCUAAAACAUUAUUGCUUGCAGAUCGUAGGAUAUGCCUCAUACCUAAAACAUAUAUACAUAGAUAAAAUUAUUAUACAUCAAUGUUAAUUGUUCAUUAAUAUCACAGCAUAAAAGAAACACAAAAGAGAAACAAAUGUCAUGAGAAUUCCAAAAUGAGGAUGUAGAGAAUGAGUUACAUUUAAUUCUGCUUGACCAUAGUAUCAUGUGGCUAAUUUGAUAAUGAUUUAUAAUCAACAUACAUAAAAGAAUAUGUGUCGGUAAACAAUAUUGGAUUUGCUUAAUCCAAAAACAACAAAGUUAACAAAAGAAACUCAAAAUAACGAUUUUUUUGAACAUUUUAGAAACUACAAUAGUUUUUUAGAACUUUUUUUGUUCUAAAAUGUAUACUUUGUAUUCUAUAUAAAAAUGAUAUAUUCUUAAUGGUAUUUUUUGCACAAAAAAAUACAACAUUUUGAAAACUUUAUUAACCUUUAGGUCAUUUUUCUAUUUACACAAAAUAACAAGUUAAAACAAAGUUUUACUCCAAAACAUGUAUACUUCAUUGGUAUUCUUGUACAUUUGUUACAGUAUAUAUUUGCGAUCACAAAUGUUUUAAAAUCUUCAGAACUCGUAAUCAAUCGAUAUGUUUUCCAUUUGGAGGUCAAUGUCAAGACUAAGAACAUUUUGAAGUGUUGGUCUCCUAUAACAUAUAUAUAUUCGUUAUGUUUAAGUAGAGUUAUGAUCAACUUAGGUUUUUUGGUUUUAAUUUAAUCAAUUUUAACUAAUUUAAAUUCAAAUAGCCCAAAUGCUAUCAAUUUAGAUAGCAAUGUAUGAAUUAUUAGAGAAUGUUUUUCUCACGGCCAAUCCCAAGAGGUAAUAGCAUAAGCAGCUCCCCAAGGCGAUAGGAUGUGACAACGCCAUCUCCGGCCAACGGGUUCCUUCCGGUGAUGGAAGGCUCGACCGUUGUGAUGCCGUAAAAGGCUCAAUACAUGACGAUUUAUCAUUGGAUUUUACGAAACCCUAAUUCUUCGCCCCAAUUUUUUGUAAUUCGUCGAUAUAGUGCAAAGUUGAAAACCUAAAGUUAGAGAGUGGAGUGUUGUAUUGAUGUAACCAUUAAGGCGAAUACUCAGAAGCCAAGCGUAACAAAAAUAUUUCAUUGAAGAAAUUCAACACAAAGUUGAGUUUCUACUUACAUGUUAGCUUUCUCAUCACUGCAUUCCAUAACUUAUUCAAUAAAGUAGACAAUUUUCAAAAAUCUAAAACACAUAAAUAGAUCAAAAUCCAAUCCAAUUAGACCUAAAUGUGUGGUUAAAAUAUUUAGAUUUAGGCUUUUUAAAAAAGAAAAUAGUGGAACUCAAUAAGAAGUGGAUGUAGCUACUUGUAAUUUGAAGGAAGAUGUGCAAAAACAACUUCCUCCAAUCGUGUUAAGUAGCAACUUGUUGGCACCGUGCAAAAGGCGGCUUGUUUUCAUGUUUCAACAAAGCCCCUGUGUCUGAGUAUGCCUUUCUAUUAACAUCCAUCCUAAUUUAGAGACUAAUGAAUCCUUCAAAACUUUCAUGGGAGAUGAAAUUUACAAAAAAAAAAUGUAUCCGAUUAAUUGUGUCUUGAAAAAAUUAACAGAAAUUUUCAUGGAUCUUCAACCGGAAUUGAAUCUAGGCUCUAAGCGGCAGUCAAGUCGCCAACAAAUCGGCGCCUGCUGUUGACUCUGAUGAUAGAGCCGUAAAAACGAAAAUCAUAGAGUAGAAAACAAGUAUUUGUUUAGAAGAAUUCGUAGCCUAAAAUAACUUCAUUUUAUUGAAAAACGAUGUAAAAAAAUAUAUUGAUUUGAAUGAGAUAAGAAGCUCUUACACUAACAAGAUAACUGAGAACUGAUCAGAGAAAACGAAAAUCAGCGGCAGAUGAAACUACUUUAUGAUCUGCUUGUGUUGUAACUGGAAUAUAUAAAGACUAUGGCUUGUGAUUGGUGGUUCAAAAACCCUAAAAAUGGAGGCGAUGGGAAUCGAAG
rnacentral:lncRNA from 1 species